rnacentral:rRNA from 1 species
AGGAUAAACGCUGGCGGCGUGCCUAACACAUGCAAGUCGAACGCGCUUACUAUCCGCGAGGAGGGUGAGCGAGUGGCGGACGGGUGAGGAACACGUGGGUGACCUACCUUUCAGUGAGGGAUACCGGCGAGAAAUUGCCGACAAGACCGCAUACGCUUCUCUUUUCAAGGGGAGAAGGAAAGCUUUUCGCAAGAGAGGCGCUGGGAGAUGGGCCUGCGGCCGAUUAGCUAGCUGGUGGGGUAAUGGCCUACCAGGGCGACGAUCGGUAGCUGGUCUGAGAGGACGAUCAGCCACACUGGGAUUGAGAACGGCCCAGACUCCUACGGGGGGCAGCAGUGAGGAAUUUUCGGCAAUGGGGGCAACCCUGACCGAGCAACGCCGCGUGCAGGACGACGGCCUUCGGGUUGUAAACUGCUUUUCUCUGGGACGAGCAAGGACGGUACCAGAGGAAGAGCCCGGCUAACUACGUGCCAGCAGCCGCGGU